CUUGAACGCUGGCGGAAUGCUUUACACAUGCAAGUCGAACGGUAGAGGGGGCAACCCCUCGAGAGUGGCGAACGGGUGAGUAAUAUAUCGGAACGUGCCCCGUCGUGGGGGAUAACGUAGCGAAAGUUACGCUAAUCCCGCAUACGAACUAAGGAUGAAAGCGGGGGAUCGCAAGACCUCGCGCGAGUGGAGCGGCCGAUAUCAGAUUAGGUAGUUGGUGGGGUAAAGGCUCACCAAGCCAACGAUCUGUAGCUGGUCUGAGAGGACGACCAGCCACACUGGAACUGAGACACGGUCCAGACUCCUACGGGAGGCAGCAGUGGGGAAUUUUGGACAAUGGACGCAAGUCUGAUCCAGCCAUUCCGCGUGCAGGAUGAAGGCCCUCGGGUUGUAAACUGCUUUUGUACGGAACGAAAAGGUCUCUCUUAAUACGGGGGACUCAUGACGGUACCGUAAGAAUAAGCACCGGCUAACUACGUGCCAGCCGCCGCCGUAA
rnacentral:rRNA from 1 species